AUUCAAUGUCUGGAGCACGCGUCGGCCACUCCACCUCGGGCGCUCUGAAGCCGGCCGCAUGGAGACUGGGGGACGGUGGUAGGAUGGUCCUAGACCCCUUCCCUCUGUUUCUGCAACCUUGGUGAAUUGAAAAGGGAUCAAUAUCCUUUAUCAGCUCUACCAUACCAGAUGGCCAAGGGACAGUGGAAAAAUGGCAGGGCAGACCCCCUUGGAUUUGCCCACGUGGAGUUUGGAUAUUUACCUGGCUUCUUUGUCAAGUCUUGGGCCUGAUGCAGGUUGCAGACGUAUGGCCACCGGUUCAUGUAGUCAACAGGUCAGGGGGGCUGUUGCCACCGAAGGAAGGGGGAUAGUGCUGACAAGACUGAUGGUAAUGAUGACAUCUAACGUACAUGGAGCAGCUCUAUCUGCCAGACACUAAGAGGAGAAUGAAGAGAUGGAGGCAGGAUGUGUCAAUGUCCGAUGGACCACCUCACCAUCUGGGGAAGAGGGAUGCAUCUAGUGAGAUGAGAAGCGGAAGAGCAAAAUCCCAAGUCCAAAGGACAUUCUGGAGGAAGUGAUUCUACUGGAGAGGCUCCACGUGGCGCAUCCCUUACAAAGAGAAUUGUGUUGCUGCAGAUGGCGAGCUGGCUCAGUGGGGGAAGGUGCUAGCCAUCAAGUCCCAUGACCUUAGUUUGAUUCC
ensembl:processed_transcript BC006965 cDNA sequence BC006965